UCGGGGGAUAGGGGAGCGUUUCACUCCGCCGGCUGCCGUUCCACAUAAAGCGGAUGCGGAUCGAUCCGUGGUGCAAGUCCAUUCCUGCGGGC
rnacentral:tRNA from 1 species